GAUGAACGCUGGCGGCGUGCCUAAUACAUGCCAGUCGAGCGAACGGACGAGAAGCUUGCUUUUCUGAUGUUAGCGGCGGACGGGUGAGUAAAACGUGGAUAACCUACCUAUAAGACUGGGAUAACUUCGGGAAACCGGAGCUAAUACCGGAUAAUAUUUUGAACCGCAUGGUUCAAAAGUGAAAGACGGUCUUGCUGUCACUUAUAGAUGGAUCCGCGCUGCAUUAGCUAGUUGGUAAGGUAACGGCUUACCAAGGCAACGAUGCAUAGCCGACCUGAGAGGGUGAUCGGCCACACUGGAACUGAGACACGGUCCAGACUCCUACGGGAGGCAGCAGUAGGGAAUCUUCCGCAAUGGGCGAAAGCCUGACGGAGCAAAGCCGCGUGAGUGAUGAAGGUCUUCGGAUCGGAAAACUCUGUUAUUAGGGAAGAACAUAUGUGUAAGUAACUGUGCACAUCUUGACGGUACCUAAUCAGAAAGCCACGGCUAACUACGUG
rnacentral:rRNA from 1 species